UUCUUAUCAAGAGCGGGGGAGGGACUGGUCCAAUGAACCCCGACAACCAGCAUUUGCACGAUGUAUGGUGUCACAUCCAGCAGAUUCAUUCUGAGAGAUAAGAA
rnacentral:ncRNA from 2 species